GGAAGUGUUGAGCAAUUGGUUGGCUCGCCUGACUGUAAAUCUGGUUCGAAAGACAUGUAGGUUCGAGUCCUACCGCUUCCA
rnacentral:tRNA from 1 species